CCAACUUUGAAUACUCAAACCCUCAUUCUCAACCCCAAACAUCAAACACCACAUUCGCACAACCCACUCCUACAUACAACCCUGAUGAUGUCUAUUAUCCUCCUAUCCAACACACCCAAUCCAACACCUACACACAACUCCCACAUUCACUGCCCAACUAUGACCUCACUGAUGAUCAUAUAAUGAAUAUCCCUUCUUUUCGCAUUCAAGAUCUCGACAGUAUGGAUAUGCCUCCAAACACAUCACAACAACAUCAAAGUCAACAACAACAUCAACA
rnacentral:lncRNA from 1 species